rnacentral:rRNA from 1 species
UACGGGGGGGGCAAGCGUUGUUCGGAAUUACUGGGCGUAAAGGGCUCGUAGGCGGCCAACUAAGUCAGACGUGAAAUCCCUCGGCUUAACCGGGGAACUGCGUCUGAUACUGGAUGGCUCGAGUUUGGGAGAGGGAUGCGGAAUUCCAGGUGUAGCGGUGAAAUGCGUAGAUAUCAGCAGGAACACCCGUGGCGAAGGCGGCUUCCUGGGCCGCCCCUGACGCUGAGGCGCGAAAGCGUGGGGAGCGAACGGG